rnacentral:rRNA from 1 species
GUGAAAGCCGUCGGCUUAACCGGAGUAGUGCAUUGGAAACUGGGAGACUUGAAGGCAGAAGAAGGGAGUGGAACUCCAAGUGUAGCGGUGAAAUGCGUAGAUAUAUGGAAGAACACCAGUGGCGAAAGCGGCUCUCUGGUCUGUAACUGACGCUGAGGUUCGAAAGCGUGGGUAGCAAACAGG